rnacentral:rRNA from 1 species
GACGAACGCUGGCGGCGUGCCUAAUACAUGCAAGUUGAGCGCUGAAGGUUGGUACUUGUACCGACUGGAUGAGCAGCGAACGGGUGAGUAACGCGUGGGGAAUCUGCCUUUGAGCGGGGGACAACAUUUGGAAACGAAUGCUAAUACCGCAUAAAAACUUUAAACACAAGUUUUAAGUUUGAAAGAUGCAAUUGCAUCACUCAAAGAUGAUCCCGCGUUGUAUUAGCUAGUUGGUGAGGUAAAGGCUCACCAAGGCGAUGAUACAUAGCCGACCUGAGAGGGUGAUCGGCCACAUUGGGACUGGGACACGGCCCAAACUCCUACGGGAGGCAGCAGUAGGGAAUCUUCGGCAAUGGACGAAAGUCUGACCGAGCAACGCCGCGUGAGUGAAGAAGGUUUUCGGAUCGUAAAACUCUGUUGGUAGAGAAGAACGUUGGUGAGAGUGGAAAGCUCAUCAAGUGACGGUAACUACACAGAAAGGGACGGCUAACUACGUG